GAAAAUAAAAUUUAGAUUUCUUCACGAUGAAUCAGAUACAACGUAGUCAAUACAAUUACAGAAUCAGCCUAUGGAAUGACCAUAGAGUUUCAGUACAAAGACUACAAUACAAAUUACGUCAAGAUCUCUGAAUUCUUCCACAAGAACUAUCAAAUUGUAACAUUUUUUAAAUGCACAACGGACCAAUAGCUUCAUUCCCUACUCCACACACCACUUAUCGCUUUACGUACUCCAGCAGUGAUGUGCAGAAUUGCGAGCUCACUCCUGUAUGAAACUUGAACCAUUCAAAGUCCAUAAAGCAUGCAUCACUGCUACCUCUGGCAUUGAAGACAACAGAAUUGAAUGAGACAACUCCAAAUACCAUAAACAGAAAAUAUUAUUUCCUCAAAUUUAACAAAAGCACAAUCUGCAGCCCACACAACAGUCAAAAAGCCAAAUGCACCCAAACCAACUUUUUAGCCAGACUUAAGAGGGAAACAAUAAUGCCUUUCAUGAAAUAACUCUGAGGUUUGCAACAUUCAUAUAUCAGUUUUGUAGCCAUCUAUUUUCUCACUCACACUUCACAUGAAAACCUUCGAGCAACAUUGUUCUUCCUUCUUAAUAAGUUUCAGUUGUAAAUAAAAACAGUCCGAUGACUUCAAGCCUAACAUCUCCCAUUUCCCUACAAGACCAUAUAAUCACACAAGGAGAACAGGGGAACCAAGACUGAUAGGAAUCUAUCUUAAUCAAGGCAUCAGUUUUCAGGUGUGGCCCCUCUAGACUUAACCUCUUAUUCCUUCAGCUCUACAAGCCUAUGGACGACUUCUUCAGAAAAACCUCACAAUGACAUAAAUGGAGGCAAUUAUUGAAGCCUGAUAAAUUUAAUCAGGUUACUUCCGGACCUCAUCACAGAAACAGACCUUUGUCGCCUGCUUCAACUUUCUGUUUCGCUUGAAACCUCACAGGCUUUUUAUUGCUUUCUUUAGCCCAAGAUUGAAUUUCUGAUUUGAUGCCAUUUACUCAGUACCAAGAACAACCUCCAGGAAAGAAAAUGGAAAAAAGCCACUGGGCACUAAGCCCGUUGCAACUAUUCUUCUCUCAAACCACUGCACACCAUUAAUAUUCAAAUCAAGUUGAAUACUAUUGACAAGAUGCAUUUGUUCUCCAUUAUUUAUUACAGUCAAGGUAAUUAAUUCUAGCCUUAACAGUGAUUCUGACCAUAUAACUUGUACAUAAGGGUAGCCAGGAGGUGGCCUGGAGGUCCUUAGCAGAUAUAUAUCUCUUCCCUUUCAAACUCUGCAGAGCUAUUGUAUCAGAUGUCCUUGGUGCAGAUAUUAAUUUCCACUGCUCCUUCUCACCUUGUUUCAAACUACAUGCUUUGAUGCGGGUAGAUGAAAAGGGGUGCUCCAGUGUUGUAGAGAUUAUUAGGCAAGGCUUUCUAUGUUUCCUAAAGUUCUUUGCGCUUUCAGUCAUGAAAUAGCAUGUCACAGGGUUUUGAAUUGAAAGGCAAAGGAGCUACUAUCACAUUGGCAUUUGAUUUGUACUUGCAAAGUGUAUGAUUUCUCUCUCUCAAACCAUUAACUCAAGAAACCCACACCACUUUGCAACAGUGACCCAUACAACAAAGAUUCAUAAUACUUGGAAUAAUGGAACCCAUUAAACACCAAAAAUUCAGAUUUCAGAAUGCAACAUUGUUCAGCAUUCGGUAGGGUUAUCAAAAUUAUCUAAGCAAUAAAGAUAUAUACCCACCCAUAUGAAACUUGCUGGAAAUGUAAAUUUCAAAAGGACCCAAAUAUGCGAAUCUUUCCUUCUUCCUUUUAUAAAAUCUUUCCAUCAUUUGGGACCAGAGAAUGAAACCCAUUAACUCAAUCGAACCCAUGAGCACCAAUGUGACUAAUAAAUUCAAGUUGAGGACUUUCCCUCUUGGAUGGUUCAAUGCAACCCAAAACAACAGCAACACAGCGGAAAAAAAAACAAUAACAAAAGAAGAGAAAUAAAUUUGUGCACUAAAUGAGAAACCCAAAAGCAGUUACCUUGAAGAUUGGAGACAGCUUUCCAAUGAGAUGUGCCUCCAGGACAAGGAAGAAGAGCCAUGACAAAGAGAUUGGGUUGGAGUUGCAGCUAUCAUUGUUUCUUGCUUUUUGGUUUUUUGUUUUCCUUUACACUUUCACUUGGUUUGAUUCGCUCUCUCCCUCUCUCUCUCUCUCUCUCUCUCGAUCGACAAUAUAUAUAGUCUAUGCGUGGGUGCUUCUGUGCUGUGUCUGUAGGUUUAAGGAGGGUUUUAGGAUUUGCACGAAUUACGAGAAGGCUUAAACUUUGACUGUUCCUCUCCUGCCCCUCCCGCCAAAUUUUCUUGUCGACUGGCCUUCAGUCCAGUCCAGUCCAUUCUACAGUAAUUUCAGUCGGAC
rnacentral:lncRNA from 1 species